rnacentral:rRNA from 1 species
AAUCAACGCUGGCGGCGUGCCUCAGACAUGCAAGUCGAACGCGAAAGUUUCCUUCGGGAAGCGAGUAGAGUGGCGUCCGGGUGAGUAACACGUAGGUAAUCUACCUUUGGGUGGGGAAUAACAACCGGAAACGGUUGCUAAUACCGCAUAAUGCAGCGGCACCACAUGGUGACAGUUGUUAAAGCGGGGGGAUCGCAAGACCUCGCGCCUAAAGAGGAGCCUGCGGCGGAUUAGCUAGNGGUAAGGUAACGGCUUACCAAGGCAACGAUCCGUAGCCGGCCUGAGAGGGGCGGUCGGCCACACUGACAUGAAAUACGGGUCAGACUCCUACGGGAGGCAGCAGU